UACGUAGGGUGCAAGCGUUAAUCGGAAUUACUGGGCGUAAAGCGUGCGCAGGCGGUGAUGUAAGACAGAUGUGAAAUCCCCGGGCUCAACCUGGGAACUGCAUUUGUGACUGCAUCGCUGGAGUGCGGCAGAGGGGAUGGAAUUGACCGCGUGGUAGCAGUGAAAUGCGUAGAAUAUGCGGAGGAACACCGAUGGCGAAGGACAAUCCCCGUGGGCCUGACACCUGG
rnacentral:rRNA from 1 species